CAACUUUCAGCAACGGAUCUCUUGGCUCUC
rnacentral:rRNA from 2 species